rnacentral:rRNA from 1 species
UACAGAGGGUGCGAGCGUUGUCCGGAAUCAUUGGGCGUAAAGAGCGUGUAGGCGGCCCGGUAAGUCCGCUGUGAAAGUCGGGGGCUCAACCCUCGAAUGCCGGUGGAUACUGUCGGGCUAGAGUGCGGAAGAGGCGAGUGGAAUCCUGGUGUAGCGGUGAAAGUGCGCAGAUAUCAGGAGGAACACCUAUGGCGAAGGCAGCUCUCUGGGACGGUACUGACGCUGAGACGCGAAAGCGUGGGGAGCGAACAGG